UUUUGCUUAAGGGUCCAAUUGCCAAAUUUCUAAAGUUCAGGGAUCAAAAUGACAAUAUCCACUGCUGCUUGAAACGUCGUCGUUGCUGGUAGAAUUCCUUGCUGCCAAAACGCUGCCGUUGCUGGUGGAACAACCGUGUGAUCUUCUUCAUCCCGAUUCAACAGGAUACCUGAAAAUCUGCAACAGAUUCAAUCGUGGACCGCGUCCCUUGCCCACGAUCUCGUUCGUGGAAGAGACAGUCCUGCAAAGGCAGGACUGAUUAGGGGCAAGCUGUGGGUCUCUAUAAAAGAGAGACCGAAGGCAAUCCCAGAAGAGGAGAGGAACCAAAAACAGAACCAAAAAUACACAGAGAAGAACAGAAACAUCAACCCAAAACAGAGUAACAAAAAAGGGCAUAAACCAAACAAAAAUACCAACGCAGAAAAAGAGAGAAAGGAGGAGGGGAGUCACGGAUCAAUCUUGUUUUUUCCUACAAGAAAGCAAUUAAUCCCCUAACCAUCGAUUAUCAACAGAACUCAGUCGAACUCCACCAGCGCUGCAGCCUUCUUCACCGCCUUCUGAAACAGGAUCCCAAUCGAUCACCGAACCAUUGGCAUUUGACAGAAAGCAGUAGAACCCACACCAGCGUUGCAACCCUCCUCAGCAUCGUUUGAAACAGCAAGCAGUCGAACUCCACCAGCGCUGCAGCCUUCUUCAAUCGCCAGAAACAGGUGCGCCUUUUCCAUUUUUUCUCUGUUCUUCGGUGUCUAAUUAAUUGUUUGAAGUUUGAACAGUGCGAAGGUAAUUUAAUUACCUUCGCACUGUUGAAUGCACGCGUGAUUUGUUUCACGCGUGCAUCCUGUUUUUAGCCGGGUCACUGGCUUGGGCCAGUGACCCGGGCCAGGCUGGCUGGGUUCAGCCCAGCCCCUGUGGGGCUGAGCUGAGCCCAGCCACUUGCUGGGCUGGGUUUAGCCCGGCCCAGCACAAAACUAAAAAAUAUAAACAUGUAAAAAAUAUAUAUAAAAAAAAAUUGUGUAGGUAAAAAAUUUAUACAUAAAUGAAUUUAUUGUUUAUUUAUUUAUUUAUUCAUUGACAAAGAAAAAGAACACAAAGUAAAUAGAAUAAAUUUAUUUAAGUAUAUUCACCGACGCCAGAGUCGGGAAUAAAAAAUACUAAGGUAAAUUUAUUUUAUUUUAUUUUUGUUUCACAUGCGUAAAAAUAAUUUGAUAAAGCAAUGAAUCGAUUUUAUUUUGUUUAUUCACAUAAGAUAAAAUAGGAUAAAUUUAUUUAAGUAUAUUCACCGACGCCAGAGUCGGGAAUAAAAAAUACUAAGGUAAAUUUAUUUUAUUUUAUUUUUGUUUCACAUGCGUAAAAAUAAUUUGAUAAAGCAAUGAAUUGAUUUUAUUUUGUAUAUUCACAUAAGAUAAAAUAGGAUAAAUUUAUUUAGUAUAUUCACCGACGCCAGAGUCGGGAAUAAUAAAAAUACUAAUGUAAAUUUAUUUUAUUUUUUUUAAAAUUGAUUUCUACUUGUUUAUUCACUGACGUCAGAGUCAGGAAUAUAAUAAAAAAACAUUUGAUUUAAAUUUAUUUUUUAGCUACGUUAUAUUUAUCAACGCCAGAGUUGGAAAUAUUCGUAGUUAAUAUUCACUGGCGCAGAGUCAGGAAUAUUGUAAGAAAAUUUUCAUAACAUAAAAAUAAACAUUUUGUAAUUUAAGACGAAACUAGCAAUGCAGCCUGCCUCAGGCAGGACGUUUAAGGGGUGAUAAUAUCUUCCCUUUUACGUAACCAGUCCCGAACCAUAGAAUCUCUGUUGACCAGUUAGGGUUUCUAGUGACCAUAAUACUAGGUGGCGACUCCUUAUCCACAUUAAAGAACAUGAUGCCAGAAAUCUGUUCUUUCCAAAGAUUUAAAGAAAUUUUUAAGGCCGCCGCGAUGUCGGGUGCGACAGAAUGGCGACUCCACUGGGGACUAAUGGACUAAGCUUUGCCUUUUGUUUAUCAAUUGUUAUAAUGUUUUUUAUGUUAUGUUUAUUUGUUUAUUUUUCUUGAAUUUACUGCUUUAGCAUGCAUCCAUGUUUAUAUUGUCAUGCAUCACGUUGAGAGCACACACCUUAAAAUCUAGGAUAAGUGGGAAAGUAACGGUACCCCAAUGGCUUUAUCCUGGGUAAGACUCGUGAAACCAUCCAACUCUCGCUUGAUUGUUUACUUGGAAGUGGUUGAUAUGCCAAACUGAUAUUACUCAGGGCCUCUAUUUUCACACUACUUGUAAGCCUCAUAUCGACCUUUCAUGGACGAUCACUGAGCAUGCGAGAGACCCUUUGAAACUAGAUAGUGACCAACCCUUUGAUGCACUCAACAAUUAGGAUCUUCCUAUUAGGUUGUCAUCCCGUGAAGGACGUGUCUGCAUUCCAUAUACAUUUUUAAUUGAAUCAACAUUUUUGCAUAAAUUGCAUGAUUUAUAUUUACAAGUUGAAAUAUAGGUUCCCAUUUGAAACCUACAAAUAAUAAACCCUUUCGAGAAAAGACAAAUGGAAAACGAAGAAAGAGCCCAGUUGGAAGCCCAACAUCAUAAAGAGGUGGACAAUCUUAAAGAAGAAGUCGCAAGGCUUACUAGUCUACUCGAGCAGGCCUUGAGAGAUAAAACCGGAAAAGCAACACUUAUAGCUCAGCCUGAACCUAUGCUUGUAAAUUCCUUCAAUCCACAGAAUCUGGGGGCAAAUGGGUUGUCAUCUGAUUUUCAACAAGUCAUGCAUUUUCAACCAGCAUACCCCACGAGAAUGUCGUUUACCAUUGAUUCUACAGAGAAUGAAUCUCAAAAGGACAAAAUGGUAAAAGAAGAUGAGCUGAACAAAUUCAUUGCCCUAGAACAAAGGAUGAGGGCAUUUGAGGGAAUUCACCUAUAUGAUCCUAUAAAGGCUGCUGAGAUGUGUUUGGUGCCCAACGUUGUCAUUCCCAAAAAGUUUAGAGUGCCAGAAUUUAUCAAAUAUACGGGAACUCAAUGCCCUAUAACUCAUCUCAAAGCAUACUGCAACAAAAUGGCUGAGGUGGUUGAUGAUGAGAAACUGCUGAUUCAUUUCUUUCAAGACAGUCUAAGUAAUGGUGCCCUCACUUGGUAUAUGCGGUUAGACAAUACCAAGGUUAAAAAAUGGAAGGAUUUAGUUGAUGCCUUCAUGAGGCAAUAUAAGUUCAAUAUAGAUGUGGGCCCUGAUCGGUUAAGCUUGCAAGCUAUGGAGAAGGAUAGCAAAGAGUCCAUAAGAGAAUACGCCCGAAGAUGGAGUGAGGUAGCUGCACAAGUUAAUCCUCCCAUGUUGGAAAAAGAAAUGAUCAGUUUAUUUUCCAACACCUUUAAAGCUCCUUACUUUGAAUACUUGGUUAGAAGCUCUGCACAACAUUUACUGACCUGGUUUUAUAGCUGAGAGGAUUGAACAAGCCAUUGGGUUAGGUAAAAUUGAUGAUCCGACUGAAAAAGAACAGUUUCACUGAAAAGGGAAAGGACACUGAAAGGGGUUGCCAAGGCACUUACUGUUCUUACAAAUGACUUCAACUAACUGUUGAAAAGAUGCCCUUGUCGAGGAGAAGAAUGAUUGAAAGAUUCCAGAAAUUCUAAUCAAUGAUCGCUAAAUGUUUAGCCCCUUUAUAUGUUAUCAUGCCAAUAUUCAUAGCCCAAGAUGUUGUCAUAAGUUCUUCCUUGUUGAACUUAUUUUCUAAAGUUUCAAUGACAAUAAUGAGUUUGUCAUUCAAUCGUGUUUACGAUUAGCAUUAUUCAUUUUUUUUCUGAGAGAGUUUUCUUAUAAAGAUUCACAAACACAUCUUUGAAGCCUUGUGCGAUCUCAUAGACGCAAUUCAUCUCUUUUACCAAAAAUCAGUUUCUCUAUUAGAGUUUUGAAAAAAUUGAUCUGGCAUUUUGAUUUCAAAAAAUAAUUUGAUGUUUAUUCAAAAACAAUAUUUUUGACAUUCUACUUGUAGAAUGACAAGUAAAUCAAGCAACUCCAUCAUUGAGGUAACUAAAUUAAAAAAAAAAAUUGUGAAAAAAGAGAGAAUAAACACCCUUACCCCAUUACUCUUGAAUCAUGUGUUUUUAAAUGUAUGAAUAAUGGUAUGUAGUGAACUUGUUGCUCAUAACUCAUGAAAUGCAUCUUUGCAAAGAAUAAACCAUCACAUUAUACAAGGUCAAAGUUUAUUGAUCAUAGUUGCUUGCGCUUGAAAUGAGAAAAGGCCAUCUUUGUUAUUCCUUUCACGUUCUAAAAUAAGUACAUCCCUUGCAAACCCUUUUUGAGCCUGAAUAAUUUUUCUUUCAUAAAAAAUCCCGACUAAGAUCACACCCUAUACUGGGGCAAAUGAAAUUUCAAUAAUCAAGAAGGAUGAUAAAGCCAUGAGAAAGCCAAAAGGCAAAAGAGCCCAAGAAACUCAAAUGCUAGAGAUCAUGCCCACAUCACAAAAAAAAGGGGCAAGUGAAAUUUCAAUUAUCAAGAAAGAGGAUAAAGCCGUGAGAAAGCCAAAAGGCAAAAGAGCCCAAGAAACUCAAUACUAGGGGGCAUGCCCAAAUCACAAGAAAAAGUGAUAACCAAGAUAAAUGAGUAGCUCUAACUAGGAAGCAAUGAAAAAGAAGAAAAGGGGCAAAUCAAAGAAAGCGGCAAAGGAAAAUAUGAAUGACAUCAAAAGUCAAACUAUUGAUCGUGAUCUUCAGUCUUUGAAACCCUGAAACACUCUUUGAGCCUUAUGAAUCCUUUUCUUUCAUAGCCAAAAACCAAAGCCUACGUUACGUGCCUGUAGAAGUCCUUUCUAAUCAAGCAAGCAAGCAAUCUAGAACAAUAAACAAUGCUCUCAAAAUGCAAAGAAUACUUUUUCAUAAGAUUCAUGACAUCAAGAAUAAACUACUCAUUAUUAUUCAUGCUGAUAAAAAUAAAUGUUCAAAAAGAGACAAGUUUUUCUCAUACAAAACCUCGAGCUUUUUCUCGAGCCCUUCACUUCGAAACAAAAGGUCAUCUCAUGAUAUAUUUUAACCAAAGACCUCAUUACCAAACACAAGAGCAAAUAAUCUCUUUUCCUAGAAAAAAAAUAACCAAGGAGUUGCAAGAUUUCAAAAGCAAAUUGUUAUUUGACUCACAUCGAAAUAAUUUUUGUUUUCAAAAUGCAAGAUCAAGAUUUCAAGAUUCAUUCUAGACCCAUAUUCCUCUACCAAACUGAAAAUGAGAGAAAUGAGAGAAUGACCUCUUAAAACCUUUAUUUAUCUAAGUCGCUGACAGAAGCACACUUAGGGGCAAUAACCAAUACAAGGGGCAACAUUGUGUUUAGAAGGAAAGAUUCUAGAAAAGGAGAUGGUAAUUUCCUUCAACCAGACAAGGGGGCAUUUUGGUUUACAAAAGACAGCUCAAUCCUUUCAGCAAGUGAUACCGAAUGUUUAUGGCAGUGAGACGAGGGGUAAUGAAUAAUCCUCUCAAAUUAUUUGACGAAUCAGAAGAUCUCUAGCAAGCAAGUGGGUCACGAUGGGCACCAUAAAUGCUGAGUUGUGCAAACAAAUUUGGAAAUAGACUUACAUGGGCCAACUUGAGUGGGCUAGAAAGCUAAACGACAAAGAAUGACUCAAAUCAGAUAGCAAGAUCUCACCAACCAAGCAACGAGAAGAUUAAGAAGAAAUGGGGGCUUAUAUUUCAAAUCAGGUAACGAUGCAUGCAUAUCAUUUAAACUUUGAGACAUUGGACAAUGAGUUUUGCAAAUUUUAUAGAGAAAAUUCUAAUGGAAUCCAUCAAGCAGAAGGCCAACUUGAAAUGACGAACAUUGAAAUUUUUUGAAAAAUUUUCACUUUUGAGAAUUUUUUCAACCGGGCAGGCCCCAUGAGAAUUAGAUCACCUGAAAAAUCUCCCUGUAUUUUUCCACCACCUUUCAGUUUCGACCAUCAAAGGUAGUGCAUUUUCUAUCCUACCUCCAUUCGAGCGCGCCUUCGAGCCCUCGUCUUAUCAUUCGAGCGCGCCUUCGAGCCUCGUUACAUUCGAGCGCGCCUUCGAGCCCUGUCUUACAUUCGAGCGCGCCUUCGAGCCCUCGUCUUAUCCAUUCGAGCGCGCCUUCGAGCCCUCGUCUUACAUUCGAGCGCGCCUUCGAGCCCUCGUCUUAUCCAUUCGAGCGCGCCUUCGAGCCCUCGUCUUACAUUCGAGCGCGCCUUCGAGCCCUCGUCUUAUCCAUUCGAGCGCGCCUUCGAGCCCUCGUCUUACAUUCGAGCGCGCCUUGAGCCCUCGUCUUAUUUAUUUUCGAGCGCGCCUUCGAGCCCUCGACCAUCAAAGGUAGUGCAUUUUCUAUCCUACCUCCAUUCGAGUGCGCCUUCGAGCCCUCGUCUUACAUUCGAGCGCGCCUUCGAGCCCUCGUCUUAUCCAUUCGAGCGCGCCUUCGAGCCCUCGUCCUUACAUUCGAGCGCGCCUUCGAGCCCUCGUCUUAUCCAUUCGAGCGCGCCUUCGAGCCCUCGACCAUCAAAGGUAGUGCAUUUUCUAUCCUACCUCCAUUCGAGCGCGCCUUCGAGCCCUCGUCUUAUCCAUUCGAGCGCGCCUUCGAGCCCUCGUCUUACAUUCGAGCGCGCCUUUGAGCCCUCGUCUUAUUUAUUUUUGAGCGCGCCUUCGAGCCCUCGACCAUCAAAGGUAGUGCAUUUUCUAUCCUACCUCCAUUCGAGCGCGCCUUCGAGCCCUCGUCUUACAUUCGAGCGCGCCUUCGAGCCCUCGUCUUAUCCAUUCGAGCGCGCCUUCGAGCCCUCGUCUUACAUUCGAGCGCGCCUUUGAGCCCUCGUCUUAUUUAUUUUCGAGCGCGCCUUCGAGCCCUCGACCAUCAAAGGUAGUGCAUUUUCUAUCCUACCUCCAUUCGAGCGCGCCUUUGAGCCCUCGUCUUAUUUAUUUUCGAGCGCGCCUUCGAGCCCUCGACCAUCAAAGGUAGUGCAUUUUCUAUCCUACCUCCAUUCGAGCGCGCCUUCGAGCCCUCGUCUUAUCCAUUCGAGCGCGCCUUCGAGCCCUCGUCUUACAUUCGAGCGCGCCUUUGAGCCCGUCGUCUUAUUUUUUUUGAGCGCGCCUUCGAGCCCUCGACCAUCAAAGGUAGUGCAUUUUCUAUCCUACCUCCAUUCGAGUGCGCCUUCGAGCCCUCGUCUUAUCCAUUCGAGCGCGCCUUCGAGCCCUCGUCUUACAUUCGAGCGCGCCUUCGAGCCCUCGUCUUAUCCAUUCGAGCGCGCCUUCGAGCCCUCGUCUUAUCCAUUCGAGCGCGUCUUCGAGCCCUCGUCUUACAUUCGAGCGCGCCUUUGAGCCCUCGUCUUAUUUAUUUUCGAGCGCGCCUUCGAGCCCUCGACCAUCAAAGGUAGUGCAUUUUCUAUCCUACCUCCAUUCGAGUGCGCCUUCGAGCCCUCGUCUUAUCCAUUCGAGCGCGCCUUCGAGCCCUCGUCUUACAUUCGAGCGCGCCUUUGAGCCCUCGUCUUAUUUAUUUUUGAGCGCGCCUUCGAGCCCUCGACCAUCAAAGGUAGUGCAUUUUCUAUCCUACCUCCAUUCGAGCGCGCCUUCGAGCCCUCGUCUUAUCCAUUCGAGCGCGCCUUCGAGCCCUCGUCUUACAUUCGAGCGCGCCUUUGAGCCCUCGUCUUAUUUAUUUUGGAGCGCGCCUUCGAGCCCUCGUCUUAUAUUCGAGCGCGCCUUCGAGCCCUCGUCUUAUUAAAAAAAAAAUCUUUGUAUUUUUCCACUGGGUAGGUAACCCAUUACAAUAUACCAAAAACAAAAAAAUGAGUUGUCUCCUAAAUGACUUGUUUCUUGAUUUCUACAUCUCUUUGUAAAGAUUAUGCGUCAAUCUACUGUUUUCAAGACUAAAAAAAAAGCAAAAAACAAAAGUUCUUUCCGUAUCUACUUUUCUUUAUAAAUUUACUACACAAAGCUAAAAGAAAAUGAAUUUUCUUUUAUCUUUGCAUAGUAAAUAUUAUAAAGAGGGGGCAACUGUCAUAACCCAAUUUUUGAACAAAUAAAAAAAUUAAAAUGGGGUUAAAACAACAAAUUUUGAAGUUUACGGAUAAAAAUAUCAGAUUUGAGAAUAAUUGAUCAGAAAUUGAAGAAUUAAUAAGUUUGGAAAUUUAUUUAAAAUUUGGAUUAGUUUAAUUAAUGAAAUUAUAAGAAUUAAUAAGUUUGCGGACUUAAUUAAACUUUGUUUAAAUUAAUUAAAUAAAUUCAGGGACUUAAUUGAAAUUUAUCCAAAAAGGGCAAAAUUGAAAGAAUUAAUUAAGGAUCAAAUUGAAAAAUCCAAGGACUUAAUUGAAAAUAAUCCAGGAAUUAAGGACUGUUUUGUAAAGUUUAAUUUUUAUUUUUUGCUUAAGGGUCCAAUUGCCAAAUUUCUAAAGUUCAGGGAUCAAAAUGACAAUAUCCACUGCUGCUUGAAACGUCGUCGUUGCUGGUAGAAUUCCUUGCUGCCAAAACGCUGCCGUUGCUGGUGGAACAACCGUGUGAUCUUCUUCAUCCCGAUUCAACAGGAUACCUGAAAAUCUGCAACAGAUUCAAUCGUGGACCGCGUCCCUUGCCCACGAUCUCGUUCGUGGAAGAGACAGUCCUGCAAAGGCAGGACUGAUUAGGGGCAAGCUGUGGGUCUCUAUAAAAGAGAGACCGAAGGCAAUCCCAGAAGAGGAGAGGAACCAAAAACAGAACCAAAAAUACACAGAGAAGAACAGAAACAUCAACCCAAAACAGAGUAACAAAAAAGGGCAUAAACCAAACAAAAAUACCAACGCAGAAAAAGAGAGAAAGGAGGAGGGGAGUCACGGAUCAAUCUUGUUUUCUUUCCUACAAGAAAGCAAUUAAUCCCCUAACCAUCGAUUAUCAACAGAACUCAGUCGAACUCCACCAGCGCUGCAGCCUUCUUCACCGCCUUCUGAAACAGGAUCCCAAUCGAUCACCGAACCAUUGGCAUUUGACAGAAAGCAGUAGAACCCACACCAGCGUUGCAACCCUCCUCAGCAUCGUUUGAAACAGCAAGCAGUCGAACUCCACCAGCGCUGCAGCCUUCUUCAAUCGCCAGAAACAGGUGCGCCUUUUCCAUUUUUUCUCUGUUCUUCGGUGUCUAAUUAAUUGUUUGAAGUUUGAACAGUGCGAAGGUAAUUUAAUUACCUUCGCACUGUUGAAUGCACGCG
rnacentral:lncRNA from 1 species